rnacentral:rRNA from 1 species
UGCCUACGGGGCGCAGCAGUGGGGAAUAUUGCACAAUGGGGGAAACCCUGAUGCAGCGACGCCGCGUGAGCGAAGAAGUAUUUCGGUAUGUAAAGCUCUAUCAGCAGGGAAGAAAAAUGACGGUACCUGAGUAAGAAGCACCGGCUAAAUACGUGCCAGCAGCCGCGGUAAUACGUAUGGGGCAAGCGUUAUCCGGAUUUACUGGGUGUAAAGGGAGCGUAGGCGGCAGGGCAAGCCUGAUGUGAAAGCCCGGGGCUCAACCCCGGGUCUGCAUUGGGAACUG